UUCGGCUGAGGUCUGAGGACCUUGCAGCUUUUGUCCAUUCAGCAUCUCCUUUUCCAGUUCCUCAAUGGACUAGAAGAGAGGAGACUGAUUACUUGGAGCAGAGGGAAUACCGCUGCGAUACCAGCAGUUCUCAAGAAGGUUGGAAAACCGGCACACGAACUACAUAUCUUGUCUGCGCUCGCUCAGUCACAGGGUGACAGGACUCAUAUUAGACCCUACAGCUUACAGAAGACUCAGCCAGAGGAGCUCCAGUUGCAACACUCUUGUCCUCUGACCUGCUUGUAGCACGCCUGCAGUGAGGAUCGUGAACAGGAUUUAGCUGUGGUAUGUUUUCUGGAACUGAUAAAGGUCUUGAGUACAUUCAAGACGAAGUCCAGGUAGGUCGAUGGUUCAAAGGGAAACAAUGUUGUAACUGGUUCUCAUUGGCUCAACUGUAUUUUUGAUGUACCAGAUUUGCACACGGCUGAAUUGCUCAAUAAGUAAUAAAAGAAUAAGGGCUUCAUUUUAAUCUUUAACGAUAAAUCCUACUGAGAUUAAGUUUCACUUUGGUUAGUGCUGACUCUAUACUGUAUCCUGAGCUGCUGAAAUGCUUUCUUUCUAAAAAGAUAGGGAAAUGUUUUAGGGGUGUACCUUUACUGUAGAGAAGUAUUAUCUUUAAAAUUACUUUUAUUCUGGUUUUCCUGCCCUGUUGCCAGCAGGGAGCACAAUCAGAGCUUAAGCUGAGGAAGAAUUGUGGCUCAGCACAAGAAAUGCAUAUUAAGAAGCAAAGUUAUUUUUAUUAAUAAAGUUGAGAUCUAAAUUAAUUGUCCAGGUUGUGCUGGAGACUCUGGCGGAGCUUCUAGCACAAUCUGGAUGAUGAACUUCAAGCCUAUCCAUAAAAAUAACUUUUCUAUCUAUGUACCAAGUUAAUAUGAUUUUCUCUUAAAAAAUGCAGACUACAGCUCUAACCUCCAGAAUACUGAGUGGGAUUCUCAUCUCUCAGUAAAUAAAUCUGAUCUUGCCACAGAGCCGUCUUUGCCACCGCACUUGGAUGUUUCCACCCAAGUAUUUUCCUGUUGACAAGAUAUCAGUGAAGGUAUCUCAGGCAUAAAGGUAGUUCCAUAAAUUAUGGUAUUUUUGCUUGGUUUCUCUUUAGAUGAAUGAGGAGUUGGGGGAGAAAAGGUUUAACAUUUAAAAGGCAUUGAGUAGUCAUCAGGGAAAAUACCACUGCAUGAAACCACCAAACAGUUCAAAAAACCUGAUGCUCUGUUUUACUUAGUCCAUUUAAAAUUCACUCAUCACCGAUCAACCUUGGGAAGAAGAACUGCUUUGUCUGUGAAGGUGGUGUUUGUUAGACUACGUAGGCUUGGCAGAAGAGGGCUGCAUAUGCAAAGAAACUCAAGGACGCUCACAUAUAAAGACUUUGCCAUGGUUUUAUUUUCUCCAAAAUUCACUUUUGUGAAGAUUAAUAGAAGGCAGAGAAGGCCACUUAACAGUAAGCAAAAACUGCCAAUCAGGAUUUUUUUCCCCAAUUAGGUUAAUUCACGUUGGAAGUGAUUUACUUACUGCGAAGAAAAAGAAAGCUUUUAUCUGGAGAUAGGCUUCUAUCAGUGUAAUGAGAAAGCUUUGAUGUAGAAUAACUCAAAUAAAACCAAUUAUUUACAGAAGUGAAUAUGGAAGUGUUUGUGGCAUACGUCAGAUCUGGUGAAAAACAGAGCUUAACAGACCCCAUGAAGCAGCUUGUCCCUUCCCUGUACAAAGGGUAAUCAAAUACAAUUAUGCCAUUCCUAAUAGUUUUUCCAAGGAGGUCUUAGAGACCUCAGUGGUUGCAGGCUGGAUCAAUGGGCCAAGGCCAACAGCAUGAGGUUCAACAAGGCCAAAUGCUGGGUCCUGCACUUGAGGCACAACAACCCUAUGUAGUGCUAUAGACUGGGGGAAGAGUGGCUGGAGAGCUGCACGGAGGAGAAGGACCUGAGGGUGUUGAUUGACAGCGACUGAACAUGAGCCAGCAGUGUGCCCAGGUGGCCAAGAAGGCCAACGGCAUCUUGGCUUGGAUCAGAAACAGUGUGACCAGCAGGUCCAGGGAGGUUAUUCUCCCUCUGUACUCGGCACUGGUGAGACAGCAUCUUGAGUACUGUGUUCAGUUCUGGCCCCUCACCACAAGAAGGAUGUUGAGGCUCUGGAGUGUGUCCAGAGAAGAGCAACGAAGCUGGUGAAGGGGCUGGAGAACAAGUCUUAUGAGGAGCGGCUGAGAGAGCUGGGAUUGUUUAGCCUGGAGAAAAGGAGGCUGAGGGGAGACCUUAUUAUUCUCUACAACUACCUGAAAGGAGGUUGUGGAGAGGAGGGAGCUGGGCUCUUCUCCCAAGUGACAGGGGACAGGACUAGAGGGAAUGGCCUGAAGCUCCGCCAGGGGAGGUUCAGGCUGGAUAUCAGAAAAAAAUUCUUUACAGAAAGAGUCAUUGGGCACUGGCAGAGGCUGCCCAGGGAGGGGGUCGAGUCACCUUCCCUGGAGGUGUUUAAGGAACGGGUGGAUGAAGUGCUUAGGGACAGGGUUUAGGGGAGUGUUAGGAAUGGUUGGACUCGAUGAUCCAGUGGGUCCUUUCCAACCUGGUGAUUCUAUGAUUCUAUGAUCUCUUUCCUUCCCCAAACAGCCUAUCCCAGGACUUUGCCAUAUUUAGCAUUAGAAAGAUCCUACUCACUUUUUACCUAAGACUUUCUUACUGCAGUUUCAGGCCAUUUCUGUUCUAGAAGGGUGGUAUAUUGGUUUUGUCCUUUAGAUGCUUUAAGACGACCAUGUCUUCCGCCAGUCUCUUUCUUAGGUAGCCACCCCACAUUUCUUAAAUUGCAGUUUCACUCAGGUUGGAAGGGACGAUAAGAUGUCUCCAAAGUGAGAACAAAACUGACUUCAGACGGAUUGCUGAGGGCUUUGUUCAAUUGAGUCCUGAAAACUCUCCAAGGACCACCUCCUCUCUGGACAACCUGCCCCAGUGUCUUAUUAUUCUCUCUAUACUGAGUCAGAACCUACUCUGGUUCAAUUUACAGACACUCGUUUUUGUUUUCCUUCUGUGCCCCUCGGUACAAAGCCUGGCCAUCUGUCCAUGUUGAAGACAAAUACCUAGUUCAAACUGGAUCUUCACAGAGGUCUCUGCAAUCCAAGUGAAUCUAAAAAGCCCAGGAGAGCUUUUAGAUUCUGGAGGACCAGGCAGUGAAUUAAGCCUCUGUUUUUAAAAACAGAUAACUGAACUCUGAUCAAUGUAAACACAGCUCCUCCUGCACCUGGCUGGCAACCGCAAAAGGCACUGCAGCACUUACUUCACUUAACCGCAUCCCUCAUGAGUUUCCUAGCAGUGUUGACUUGGUAAGUCCUUGUGACCUGCUGAAGUUCUGCAGCUGACACCAGCUAUUACAACACACCGUGUCAUGUGUCAACCACGUUUCUGAACUGCAGGAAAGACUCCAGAGCAGUUACCUGAACUGUCACCCAGUACUCAGGAGGACCAUAAAAUAAUGUUUGCCAAAGAUAAACAUCAUAUUCCUAUGUUGUGCUAAGACAACCUGUUCUGCCACAGAGGCUAUGAAUAGAUGUGAUUUAAACAUCAGAGCACAAUGUUUACCUCGUCUCCAAAGAUUUUACAUUCUAUGUAUAUAGUAGAAAGCAAGAGAUGAGCCCAGGUAGGCCGGCAACUAUGAGUAAGUAGAUAGUAUUGAACGAGCUGAGGUCUCUGUGUCUCUGUGACACAACUCUUCCCAAGUUUGUAGGCAUAUCUGAAAAAAAAAGAGAACUUUCUCGGGUACAGAUCUGAAGGAAGACAACUGAGUGGCUGUGAAGAAUGUCUUAUGGCAAGGAGGCAACUUGGGAAAGGCAGGAGGUGCUUGCUUGAGGAUGCAGCAAGAGUAUGAUGAAGGCUGUCAUCGUGGCCUGACCAAAGGUAAAAGCUGACUCCCACAUGUGCAGCCAGGCUGUUGAGGGGCUUGAGGUGAGGAGUUGCCUGCACGAGCUUGGAUGCCUGUGGUUAAGGUGACAGAGAAGAGGGCGACAGGGGGGGAAUGCAAACACUAGAAUGACACAGUGAAAGUGGCAGUCAGGGAAAUGUUGGUGCGGAAAUGACAGGGCAGGACUGUGUCCAUCGGGGCCAGAGAAAGCCAGAUAGAGUUCCCAAAGAUGACUUAGCCGUGCAGUUACUUGUGAAUGGCUGUAUCUAAGAGAUGUCACGCACAAAAAGCCUGUGAUCCGGAAAGAACAUGCACGUGGGGGCUCAGAAAGCAGUGCAGGGGGACUGGUUUUACAAGGCAGAAAGGCAAAGAGACGUGCUUAAACUAUGCUUUGUUCUCAGCAGCUCACAAGCAACCACUCCCUCACCUAUUGAUUUUUUUGGCAUUUGCUUCUGCUUCGCUGUCAGAUAUUUUAAAAAUCUUAAGGACCUUGCCCUCCUUGCACAAAAACAAUCCACAGAACUACCUGGAGGCUGGGUUUGCUAAUCACAAGCCCAUGCACAUACAUGUUGGUCUGUUUGUUUGUGCUCAGCUUACAUAAACCAUAAGAAAAGUAAGAUGUGAAGUCCAGUGAGACAGGGUUUACUGAGUUUGAGGGGUCUGCCAGACCCAAUGAGCUCUGGAGAGCCGUGCUUUUGUCCAGGCUAGAAAGGGUUGAGCAGCAGCAAACUUAUAAAGGGGGAUAAGGAUAAAUGGAGAGAGGGUGAACACAGUGCUUGUACAAGGUUGCACUUGCACCAAGAUGCAAAACGACGUGCUGAGGAGGAUGGAAGUGAAAACUGUCAAUAAGUUGUGGCUUUAAAUGAAGUCUGUGCCUUGAUGCCUUGAAAGAAAUACAAAUGGCAUCAGACUUGCACAAAUUGGUUGGGCUUGAGAGGGAGCUCUGGAGAUCAUGCAGUCCAACCUCUCUGCUAAAGCAGGUUCACCCAAAGACACAAAGCAGGUUGUGUGGGACCAUGUCUAAGUGGGUUUUGAAUAUGUCCAGAGAAGGAGACUCCCUUGGCAGCCUGUUCCUAUCGCCCUCGCAGGAAAGAAGCGUUUCCUCUUAGAAUCAUAGAAGAGAAUCAUGGAAUAGUUUGAGUUGGAAGGGACCUUAAAGAUCAUCUAGUUCCAGACCGCCUACCAUGGGCAGGCAUGUUCCACUGGAUCAGGCUGCCCAAGGCCCAUCCAACCUGGCCUUGAACACCUCCAGGGAUGGGGCAGCCACAGCUUCCCUGGGCAACCUGUGCCAGUGCCUCACCACUCUCAUGGUGAAGAAAUUCUUCCUAAUGUCCAGCCUAAAUCUGCCCCUCUCCAGUUUAUACCCAUUCCCCCUGGUCCUGUCCCCACAAGCCUUUAUGAAUAGUGCCUCCCCAGAUAUCCUGUAGCCCCUUCAGGUACUGGAAAGUCGCUGUAAGAUCUCCUCGGAGUCUUCUCCAGGCUGAACAACUCCCACUCUCUCAGCCUGUCCUUGUAUGGGAGGUGCUCCAGCCCUCCGAUCAUUCUUGUAGCCCUACUGUAGACCCGUUCCAACAGCUCCACAUCCUUCUUAUGUUGAGGAUUCCAGAACUGGACACGAUACUCCAGAUGAGGUCUCACAAGAGAGGAACAGAGGGGCAGAAUCCCCUCCCUCGCCCUGCUGGCCACGCUGCUUUGGAUGCAGACCAGGACACGGUUGCCCUUCUGGGCUAUGAGCGCACCCUUGUUCAGGUGGAAGGUUCUGUGCUGCAGUUUGUGCCCGUUGCCCCCCGUCCCGUCGCUGGGCACCACCGAGCAGCCUGGCCGCACCGCACCCUUCAGAUAUUGCUCAGCACCGAUCAGAUCCCCUCUCAGCCUUCUCCAGGCUGAAGCCACCCGGCUCUCCCAGCCUUUCCUCGAACGCAGGUGCUCUCUGAAGGCUUCACUCGGAGCUGCCCGGGCUCUCCCAGCGUCCCUCCCACCCCUCGGUGCCGCAGGAGCCUCCCGGCAUUCCCGUUCCCGCUGGCGCAUCCCUCGGGAAGGGACCCGGCCAGGCGGUGGAUGCAGGACCGCGGAGCCGCUCCCGGACCUGUUGCGGAGGGAGGGAGGAAAGGGGAGACGGCGAGGAAAGGAGG